CUGAAUCCACUCUUUAUGCUGCUACGGGCCUGAUGACAUAGAUUUCAUUGCUGAGUGAUAUUGCUUUUUAGAAUCAUCAUACCUGAAUCCACUCAUUGUGCUGCUACGGGCCUGAUGACAUAGAUUUCAUUGCUGAGUGAUAUUGCAUUUUAGAAUCAUCAUACCUGAAUCCACUCAUUGUGCUGCUACGGGCCUGAUGACAUAGAUUUCAUUGCUGAGUGAUAUUGCAUUGUACUUAGAAUCAUCAUACAUGAAUCCACUCAUUAUGCUGCUACGGGCCUGAUGACAUAGAUUUCAUUGCUGAG